rnacentral:lncRNA from 1 species
CCAGUAGUUAUCACCCAAAAAGUGCAUUGUUUGGAUUAACACCACAAGAGACCGACAAUGUUAUUGUAUUUGUAUUGGUAGCUGACUCAGAAUCAUCUCUCAAGAGAUAAAGAACGUGAGAUGUUGUUCAUAUUUCGGCCAUAUCAUAUCAUCUAAUACAAGGUGGCGUGUGCCUGUGCUGUCCCCUCACUUAUCACUAACAUUUGCAAUUCUUCACCUCAAAGUGGAGGAGACAAAUCCUAUCCUAAGCACAUCCAAAAUUAACCCUUUGGUCUUUAUACUUCCAAAUAUGUUAAGUUUGGACAGUUACGUAUUAAAGUUCAAAUACUAAUCCACCUCCGUGCUCUUCUUCUGCAUUCCAAACUUCAAAUAACAAAUUUGCCCCAACCAUCUUCUGCAUUCCAAACUUCAAAUAACAAAUUUGCCCCAACCACAUGAUUGAAGAGAACGAUAAGAUAUUUACUAUGUGUUAAUUAAUAUUUAAUGAUGGUUACAAAUAUAACAAUCAUAUUUAAAAUUUAAAGUACUUACAAAAUAGCAAAUUUAGAUUCUACCUUCAAAGUUUAUCAAUGAUAGAGAUAUCGCUAGUAUGGUCAAUAAGCCAAAUUGUCGAUUGAAAUUUAUCAACGAUAGAGUCUAUUAUCAAUAAAUUUUAAUAUAUUUGCAAUUCUUUAAAAGUGUUUUUAUGCAUUUAUUACCUUAAUAUUUAGUUUAGUUUUUAGAUUAGUUAGUGUUUAAUUAGAACUAUAGAAUGAAUUGGUUGGUUGUGUUAUUUAUUGUAAGGCUAUAAACAACCAAUUUAGGGAAAACUUUGAAUAUCCAUCUGAAUUAGAACUGGUGUUCCUGGAGAAUGCUCUCUUAAUUUAAAGGAUGAAUUUCUCUUAUUUGACCAAAGGAUCUAAUCUAAUACCUAGACACGAAGCAUCACCGCAAAGAGAAUAAAACUUGAAUCCAAAUCAGUCUAAGAGUUGAAGAUGAAUCUUCAAAAUAAAAGGUUCAAAACUAACAUAAUUUACCGUAGCUAAACAAGAGCAAGAGAUGGAGAUCCCAAUUCCAAGUAAUUGAUAGAAGAUUGGUCAGUACAAGCCAAAACAAUGACUUAAUUUGAUUGGGGUCUCUGUUGAAUGUGGAUUGGUCUUUAGUGCUGGCGCUUUAAAAAUGAAUGAAAGGUAAAGUAUCUCUAUUUUGUUGGUUCUCAAUCUUCUAGAGGCUGAUGCUGUAAAGAAACAGAGUAAUCCAUAAUAGAUAGAGGUGAUUAAAAUGGUAGCUGGACAAUCUAUCUUUGUCAAUUAAAAGAGAGUUUACUGCUUUACGUCUUUUCAAAUUAUCUUUAAACCAAUAAAAGAUAAGCAGAUUUCCACUAUAUCAUUAAAUAGAUCAUGAUAGAUCCUAACCAAUUGAGAGGAGGUUUAACAUGACUUUUGAAAUAGGGAAUUGCCCUGGGCAACUUGAAGCACCUCUCAAAAUCCUUGAAGAUUUAUUAGAUAAUUUGUUGGGUACUUGAGCACUCUAAAGAACUAUCUCCCAAAAGCCAACUAUAGAGGUGAGAGAGUCAAGCCACAUAAGUAGCACAUUGACCAUCCCAUUCUAACUAAUGAGGGACAAAGUUAGAUCAGAGUACCUUGGUUCCUAAUAAUGAGGUUUCUUACAAUACCUUGGUUCCUAACAAUGGUUCCUAAUUAAUGUGGGAGGAAAAUGAUGGUAAAUUAUGGGCCAUUGGAACUAAAAAUGGCAGUAUUGUACUGCUAGUCUUAUGCACUACUAUUGGUAACUUACACAAACAGAGCUAUCUGAGACACAGUCACUAGUUAAGAAAAAAUGAAGGACUUGAUUACUAAUGACAAAAACAGAGAAAUUUGGCCUAACAUUACGCAAAUAUCUGUAUAACCAACUCAAACUCCACAAAUUCAUCUCACUUAUUCUACAUAUUUAGCAUGAAAAUUCCUUAUAACUUAUUUCGACUUCUACAAACAAACCUGUCAAUUGUUUCCAACAGUCUUUCUCAUUCUCCUUUCAUUCGUCAUCAAAACAAACAGUAUGAUUUACGAAAAGUUACUAAUAUUUGUCAAAAUCUCCAGGAGAAUACUGAAUCUUAAUAAAAGAGUGUCAAUAUCUCAUCUGAGAUUUAACCCUUUUGACCAAUCGGGGCACUACGAAUAAUCUCGGGGGAGAUUGUUGGUCUUGGACUGAGAUUAUGUAAACGACCUGGCAAACAACUGUUUUUUCCAACAGCAUGCAUGUUAGAAACCAAACAUAUUUAAUAAAGAGAAGACUUCCCUUGUUUUUGAGAUUUUGUUGAAAAAGAGAAAAACUCCAAAAUGUGAGAGAGGGAACCUUUUAAGACCCAAACUUGUAGAGUCAACCUGGGGAUUUCUAAAACAAUGAUUUGAUAAUAAUAUGAUAAUAUAAUGAAAGAGGGCAUAAUGGUAAAAUUAACCCUUUAUUAACAAAUCUAGACACGUCACACAUGGCUCACGUUCUUAACUCGAUUUUGGUCGACAUGCCCCAUGAAAAACUCUUUUAAC